rnacentral:rRNA from 1 species
AGCCCGAGUGGUGAUCACUAUUAUUGGGUUUAAAGGGUCCGUAGCCGGUUUAAUCAGUCUUCUGGGAAAUCUAAUCGCUUAACUAUUAGGCUUCCAGGGGAUACUGUUAGACUUGGGACCGGGAGAGGUAAGAGGUACUGCAGGGGUAGGAGUGAAAUCUUGUAAUCCCUGUGAGACCACCAGUGGCGAAGGCGUCUUACCAGAACGGGUCCGACGGUGAGGGACGAAAGCUGGGGGCACGAACCGGAUUAGAUACCCGGGUAGUCCCAGCUGUAAACGAUGCUCGUUAGGUGUCAGGAACGGUGCGACUGUUUCUGGUGCCGAAGGGAAGCCGUGAAACGAGCCACCUGGGAAGUACGGCCGCAAGGCUGAAACUUAAAGGAAUUGGCGGGGGAGCACUACAACGGGUGGAGCCUGCGGUUUAAUUGGACUCAACGCCGGAAAACUCACCGGGGGCGACAGCAAUAUGUAGGUCAGGUUAAAGGUCUUACCUGAAUCGCUGAGAGGAGGCGCAUGGCCGUCGUCAGUUCGUACUGUGAAGCAUCCUGUUAAGUCAGGCAACGAGCAAGACCCGUGCCCACUGUUACCAGCAUAUCCUUUAUGGAUGAUGGGGACUCUGUGGGGACCGCUGCUGCUAAAGCAGAGGAAGGUGCGGGCUACGGUAGGUCAGUAUGCCCCGAAUCUCCCGGGCUACACGCGGGCUACAAUGGUUGGGACAAUGGGUAUCUACUCCGAGAGGAGUUGGCAAUCUCUUAAACCCAAUCGUAGUUCGAAUUGAGGGCUGUAACUCGCCCUCAUGAAGCUGGAAUCCGUAGUAAUCGCGUUUCAACAUAGCGCGGU